rnacentral:rRNA from 1 species
AUGAACGCUGGCGGCGUGCCUAAUCCAUGCAAGUCGAGCGAACGGACGAGAAGCUUGCUUCUCUGAUGUUAGCGGCGGACGGGUGAGUAACACGUGGACAACCUACCUAUAAGACUGGGAUAACUUCGGGAAACCGGAGCUAAUACCGGAUAAUAUUUUGAACCGCAUGGUUCAAAAGUGAAAGACGGUCUUGCUGUCACUUAUAGAUGGAUCCGCGCUGCAUUAGCUAGUUGGUAAGGUAACGGCUUACCAAGGCAACGAUGCAUAGCCGACCUGAGAGGGUGAUCGGCCACACUGGAACUGAGACACGGUCCAGACUCCUACGGGAGGCAGCAGUAGGGAAUCUUCCGCAAUGGGCGAAAGCCUGACGGAGCAACGCCGCGUGAGUGAUGAAGGUCUUCGGAUCGUAAAACUCUGUUAUUAGGGAAGAACAUAUGUGUAAGUAACUGUGCACAUCUUGACGGUACCUAAUCAGAAAGCCACGGCUAACUACGUG